UGCAGUCGAGCGGACGGAUGGGAGCUUGCUCCCUGAAGUCAGCGGCGGACGGGUGAGUAACACGUGGGCAACCUGCCUGUAAGACUGGGAUAACUUCGGGAAACCGGAGCUAAUACCGGAUAAUGCAUAACCUCUCAUGAGGUUAUGCUGAAAGAUGGUUUCGGCUAUCACUUACAGAUGGGCCCGCGGCGCAUUAGCUAGUUGGUGAGGUAACGGCUCACCAAGGCAACGAUGCGUAGCCGACCUGAGAGGGUGAUCGGCCACACUGGGACUGAGACACGGCCCAGACUCCUACGGGAGGCAGCAGUAGGGAAUCUUCCGCAAUGGACGAAAGUCUGACGGAGCAACGCCGCGUGAGUGAUGAAGGUUUUCGGAUCGUAAAACUCUGUUGUUAGGGAAGAACAAGUGCCGGAGUAACUGCCGGCACCUUGACGGUACCUGACCAGAAAGCCACGGCUAACUACGUGCCAGCAGCCGCGGUAAUACGUAGGUGGCAAGCGUUGUCCGGAAUUAUUGGGCGUAAAGCGCGCGCAGGCGGUCUCUUAAGUCUGAUGUGAAAGCCCACGGCUCAACCGUGGAGGGUCAUUGGAAACUGGGGGACUUGAGUGCAGAAGAGGAAAGUGGAAUUCCACGUGUAGCGGUGAAAUGCGUAGAGAUGUGGAGGAACACCAGUGGCGAAGGCGACUUUCUGGUCUGUAAACUGACGCUGAGGCGC
rnacentral:rRNA from 1 species